rnacentral:rRNA from 1 species
UGGGGAAUAUUGGACAAUGGGCGCAAGCCUGAUCCAGCCAUGCCGCGUGAGUGAUGAAGGCCCUAGGGUUGUAAAGCUCUUUCACCGGUGAAGAUAAUGACGGUAACCGGAGAAGAAGCCCCGGCUAACUUCGUGCCAGCAGCCGCGGUAAUACGAAGGGGGCUAGCGUUGUUCGGAUUUACUGGGCGUAACGCGCACGUAGGCGGACUUUUAAGUCAGGGGUGAAAUCCCGGGGCUCAACCCCGGAACUGCCUUUGAUACUGGAAGUCUUGAGUAUGGUAGAGGUGAGUGGAAUUCCGAGUGUAGGGGUGAAAUUCGUAGAUAUUCGGAGGAACACCAGUGGCGAAGGCGGCUCACUGGACCAUUACUGACGCUGAGGUGCGAAAGCGGGGGGAGCAAACAGG